rnacentral:lncRNA from 1 species
CUGGAAGCCUGGCUGAUCACUCAGAGCCUCACUGGAGCUUUCUGUGGUAAGGGCUUUCUGGAGGAGAUGACUUUAGCCAACAUAUCAUGACAGACUGGAGAAGUCUACAUCCCGAUGAGAAGAAGACGCAUUACCUGGAGCCAAGAGAGGGGAAAGAGCGUCACCAGUGGCUUUCCUCACAGCACCGGGUCUUCCUGGUAGAAUGAAGCACCAAUUCAAAAGUGGCAGAUCUGUCCCCACAUGCUCUGCUAAGAUGGAGUAGAUAUCUUUCUCCAAAGAUGGAGAUGUAGCAGAUGGUUGAUCUCUCCAGGAGGAGAGAAUCAGAUAGAGAAAGAAAAAUGAUGUGGGCUGUGGUUGAGAAGAAACCUGCUGUGGUUGGGAAGAAACCCGCUGAGUUGCAGCAUAGCCCCAUUGAGAGAUGCCACAGCCGCAGCACCAUUUCCAUUGCAGUGACCAGAUGGAAGGGCAGAGAGCACACAAGUCUUACCUUGACUCUCGAGACCUGCUCAGCAUAGCACACAGCCUCAUUUCUCCAGGACCCAGCUCUGUGGUCUCCCUCCAGUGAUCAAAGACUUAACAACAGAGGGUUCACCUUCACUUAAUCACAGCUAGAAAGGAAGCAUCCCACUAUGGCUUCUGUUUAACAGCAUAAAAGAAACUAAGGCUACCUUUCGUAAGUGGAAAGAGAUCAGAUACACUUUGAGAGGAUAAAUAUUUAAAAUGCAAAUAAUCUUAUCAAGCAGAAAUGGCUUCUUAUCAAAGGAAACCAGGCAAGAAUAUGAAAAUAUUAAACCAAUGUAGUUCUCACAAUAAAUCAAUGAACUGAAAUCUCCAUGCAAAUGCACAGAGCCAGAAUGCCCUUUGAAAGCAGUAGAGUAAACAUGCCUGAGUACUAUACUCUUGUCUUUUCAUGAUUUUUCUUGGAGCAGCCUUUGCAUAUCGUCUUAGUGUUUCUAGUGCUGUGAUGAAAUGCCAUGAACAAAAAGCAAGUUGGAGAGGGGUUUAUUUGGCUUACACUUCCCCAUUGCUGUUCAGCAUUAAAGGAAGUCGGGAUGGGACCUCAAACGGGGCAUGAACCUGGAGGAAAGGGAUGAUGCAGACGGUAGAGAUGGUAGACUGUUGCUUACUGACUUGCUCAGCCUGCCUUCUUAUAGAACUCAGGACCACCAGCCCAGGGAUGGCACCACCCACAGCAGGGAUCUCCACAAUUAGUAAUUAAUAAAAUGCUUUAUAGCUGGACCUUAUGGAAGCAUUUUCUCACCUGAGGCUCUCUUCUUUCAGAUACCUCUAAUCUGUGUAUCAAGUUGACAGCAUAAGACUAGCCAACCCACACACAUGCAGCAGAACAACUCACCAGAAUUUCAUUUCCAGUUUUAAAGUCUAAAUCACAACUGUUAGGGGCCACCUGAGGAGGACCCAUACCUUGACUAGACUUCUAUUUUCACAUGGUCCGUGUGUUUGAAUGUGAAUGUGUGGCUGGCGGGGAGACCCGAGUGCCUGGGAACACAUGUGGAAGUCAUAGUACAACUUAUGGGAGUCAGUUUUCUCCUUCCACCAUGUGAGUCGCAGAGUUUGAACUCAGAUCAUCAAGCUUAGAUUCAAGCACCCACUGAGUCAUUUCACCAGUCUUUGCCUUCUUCUAUAAACCUUACCCUAACAGGACUCUGAAGACAGACUUGGGGUGGGUGGGGGCUGGUAUGACCUGAGACGACCUGAUCUGACUAGUGAGAGUAUACUACAUUUAUUGAAGGGUCACCUGGUCCUUUGUAAAUACACACAGUUACUAUAUGUUAAUUAGAAAAUUAAAAAGUACAAUUUAAGACAGACAUGACAGCUCACAUCUAUAGAUACAGUAUUUUAGAGGCUUGGUCAGACUUUUGUGAGUGGUGUUUGUUUAUUUUGUUGUUGAUAUCUUUGUUUCUUUCCCCACAUGGAACAAAUCAUCUUCUACUUUUGACUAAAAGAAUAAAAUAAAAUUAAGACUGAG